rnacentral:rRNA from 1 species
UGGCUCAGAACGAACGCUGGCGGCAGGCUUAACACAUGCAAGUCGAGCGCCCCGCAAGGGGAGCGGCAGACGGGUGAGUAACGCGUGGGAAUCUACCCUUGACUACGGAAUAACGCAGGGAAACUUGUGCUAAUACCGUAUGUGUCCUUCGGGAGAAAGAUUUAUCGGUCAAGGAUGAGCCCGCGUUGGAUUAGCUAGUUGGUGGGGUAAAGGCCUACCAAGGCGACGAUCCAUAGCUGGUCUGAGAGGAUGAUCAGCCACAUUGGGACUGAGACACGGCCCAAACUCCUACGGGAGGCAGCAGUGGGGAAUAUUGGACAAUGGGCGCAAGCCUGAUCCAGCCAUGCCGCGUGAGUGAUGAAGGCCCUAGGGUUGUAAAGCUCU